rnacentral:rRNA from 1 species
GUAGGGAAUAUUGGUCAAUGGGCGGGAGCCUGAACCAGCCAAGUCGCGUGAAGGAAGAAGGAUCUAUGGUUCGUAAACUUCUUUUGCAGGGGAAUAAAGUGCAGGACGUGUCCUGUUUUGUAUGUACCCUGAGAAUAAGGAUCGGCUAACUCCGUGCCAGCAGCCGCGGUAAUACGGAGGAUCCGAGCGUUAUCCGGAUUUAUUGGGUUUAAAGGGUGCGUAGGUGGUUUGAUGAGGCAGCGGUGAAAGUUUGCAGCUUAACUGUAAAAAUGCCGGUGAAACUGUCGGACUUGAGUGUAAAUGAGGUAGGCGGAAUGCGUGGUGUAGCGGUGAAAUGCAUAGAUAUCACGGAGAACUCCGAUUGCGAAGGCAGCUUACUAAGCUACAACUGACACUGAAGCACGAAAGCGUGGGGAUCAAACAGGAUUAGAAACCCGGGUAGUCC